AAAUGAGGAAAAAUGACUUUAGUUUAAGUUUAUUUAUGGUCUGUGUGAAGUCACAAGAAUGCAGUCAGAGAGAAAGAGCGCUCAGAGAAAGCUGCCGUGCUUCCAGGGAGACUUUUCCCGUCUUGUGUGAAGUUACUAAGGAUGAAUCCGUCCACACUAUGACCGUCAGCUGUACUCUGCGCAGCCGCAAACUGUUCGUAUGCCUAAAGAAAAGCCACGUCCAGUUUAUUACAGACUUCUACCAACACCAUGAUCCAAUGCCCCAUUCCGUCGCUUUUAUGAUCAAUAACUCUCCCUGCAAAUUUGUUGAAUAAGAUCAUUACUCCUGCUGACAUCUCCCUGUAAAGUCAGUCUUGUGUCCAUGUGUUUUGGCCAGUCUGUCUCCUCAGUCAUGUCUCUGGUGAAGAGUGGAUGGAGUGGCCUUAAAAGCAGGAUUGCUGCCGAUGGCUUGCAGGUGAGGCUGGGCCAGCGCUGGUGGCCGACUUUGCCCAACACAGGCCAAAAGGACCAGAAGCACAACACUUCCCUGGACCAUGACGUUAACGUGCUGGGUGUCACCAAAAUUGCCCUCAAAAGAAUCCUGAGUCAGCUGUGAGUAAUUUACAUGGCUGCUGACUUCCUUGGAUUUAGAAGUCACCUGAAAAAUGCAGGUGGAGUGUUGACAAAGCAGCCUGUGAAACGUAUUAGAUUCAGACAUUCUCACAGAUAAUGAUUUGAAAGCGCUCCUGAGCCUGCACUUGAUCAAUUUGCUUCUUUAUCAGUCCGAACAUUGUCAGAGCUGCUUUCCCCUUUUUGUCAUCAUUUGCACUUUCCUUGCUAAUGUAUUAAUAUGUUAUUACUUUUCAAACACCAUCUCCUCUACAUCACACAUGUUAGCCAAGGCGGUUAUGGAGAGGAAACUCAUCUGCAGACCGGAGAUUUAUCAGCCACCAGGUCACUCUUGGUCCGUCUGCGGUCUAGAAUAUAGCCCCGGACAGACACGUAACAUGGAAUUCAUCAUUUUCUGCCUUCACAUGAAGCAUAUUUUCCAAUAAAUGCUGUAACACUUUCCUUACUUCUGUCUUCGAUGCAUUGUUGGAGGUCUCUGGAGAAAACUAUGCCAUCUAGAUACAUAGUUGAAUUCAAAAAGUGCUUCAGUAUAUCAUUUACUGAAACUUGACAGACUGUUGAUGCAUUGGUUAGCCCAAAAGGCAUCACUUAACUCUUUGACACAUAAUGGUCACUAUAGUGCACAGCAACUCAAAGGCUGUUUUCUUGUAUUUGUGCCAGUGUUGAUGGUAUACUUGCACAUAAACC
ensembl:lncRNA